UACGAAGGGCGCAAGCGUUGCUCGGAAUCACUGGGCGUAAAGCGCGCGUAGGCGGCUUGGUAAGUCAGGGGUGAAAUCCCGGAGCUCAACUCCGGAACUGCAUUUGAUACUGGCGAUCUUGAGUCCGGGAGAGGGUAGUGGAAUUGCGAGUGUAGAGGUGAAAUUCGUAGAUAUUGGCAAGAACACCAGUGGCGAAGGCGGCUCCCUGGCCCGUGACUGACGCUGAGACGCGACAGCGUGGGGAGCAAACAGG
rnacentral:rRNA from 1 species